GGCUUGAAGAGGUCGGAGAAAAUCCUGGAGCAGAGAAUCCUGCAGGAGAAUCAGCAGAGCUUUGUGGUGGCGCGAACCUGCUCCUUGGCCUCACAGUCCUGCCCAGGUCUUCUGAUGGACUCAAGUCCCGAAUCGGAGUCAGCCAGGAAGAAGCUGUUGCUCUUCUCCCCGGCCCCUGAGGGUGAGUG